CAGGGCGUCACAGAGGGUGAGAAUCCCGUACGUGGCCGGCGGUCAACCCCGUGUGAAACCCCUUCGACGAGUCGAGUUGUUUGGGAAUGCAGCUCAAAACGGGUGGUAAAUUUCAUCUAAAGCUAAAUACCGGCCGGAGACCGAUAGCGCACAAGUAGAGUGAUCGAAAGAUGAAAAGCACUUUGGAAAGAGAGUUAAACAGUACGUGAAAUUGUUGAAAAGGAAGCGCUUGCCACCAGACUUGCUCGCGGGCGAUCAGCCCCCCUUCGCGGGGGGUGCACUCGCCCGCGAUCAGGCCAGCAUCGGUUCCGGCGGGCGGAUAAAGGCCCCAGGAAUGUAGCUCCUUCCGGGGAGUGUUAUAGCCUGGGGUGCCAUGCGCCCUGCCGGGACCGAGGACCGCGCUUCGGCUAGGAUGCUGGCGUAAUGGUUGCAAGCGACCCGUC
rnacentral:rRNA from 1 species